AUUGAACGCUGGCGGCAGGCCUAACACAUGCAAGUCGAGCGGAUGAAGGGAGCUUGCUCCUGGAUUCAGCGGCGGACGGGUGAGUAAUGCUUAGGAAUCUGCCUGGUAGUGGGGGAUAACGUCCGGAAACGGGCGCUAAUACCGCAUACGUCCUGAGGGAGAAAGUGGGGGAUCUUCGGACCUCACGCUAUCAGAUGAGCCUAGGUCAGAUUAGCUAGUUGGUGGGGUAAAGGCCUACCAAGGCGACGAUCCGUAACUGGUCUGAGAGGAUGAUCAGUCACACUGGAACUGAGACACGGUCCAGACUCCUACGGGAGGCAGCAGUGGGGAAUAUUGGACAAUGGGCGAAAGCCUGAUCCAGCCAUGCCGCGUGUGUGAAGAAGGUCUUCGGAUUGUAAAGCACUUUAAGUUGGGGGGAAGGGCAGUAAGUUAAUACCUUGCUGUUUUGACGUUACCAACAGAAUAAGCACCGGCUAACUUCGUG
rnacentral:rRNA from 1 species